rnacentral:lncRNA from 1 species
AAACCUCUUUCGAAAUUUCAGGAAAAGGAGGAUCUGCAGCAUAUUCCUGUCUUUCCUUUCCACUUUCUAUCUUCCCUGACGAUUAGAACCCAUUUAUCAAUGAGCUAAUCAAUAUUAUUCCUUUUUCUUCUUUUUUCUCAACCUCCGCUCCUUCUCUCCUACCGUGCAGAUUGCGGCACUGGUGCCGGGGGAGGCUGGCAGCGGACAGGGGCGAU